GAUUUUCUGACUUAGGUCUGGAGCGGAACCUGAUAAUUUGCAUUCCUAACAAGUUUCAGGUGAUGUGAAUUCUAUGAUCUGUGUCCACACAUUUUUAAAAGCCACUGCUCUAGACUCUGCUAAGAUGCCUGAGUGUUUCUCCACUUGCCCUCUCUUCCACCUCCUUACAUCUAGACCAGACUUCUCUGAGCCCAAAAGGACUAGAAGGAGUUGCUCAGCUAAUUUUGGGGCUCCUUUUAGAAGAAAUUGUUUCAUAUGUAGCUGUAGAUUCUGUGGCUUCAUGCAAAGAGAUCAAAAGGAUGGCCAGAGGCUACUGUGUUCAAUCCAGAAAUCUGCAGGAGAUAGUGCCUGGGCCUGGAAAGCAGCUCUGCUCCUCAGGAACAUCUGCUCACAGAAAAUGAUCAGAGAGAACGUUGACACGAGUCAUGCAAACUACCACGGACAUGCUGGGGUCCAAAGGCAUUAAAUUUGAAAGAGACAGUUCCAGAAUGCCUGCUUGUCGGGAGGAGGAGGUGGAGCUAGGUUGAAGAUGAGCCCUGAGCUAACUACUGCCAAUCCUCCUCUUUUUGCUGAGGAAGACUGCCUUGAGCUAACAUCUGUGCCCAUCUUCCUCCACUUUACAUGUGGGACACCUACCACAGCAUGGAGUUUUUGCCCAAGCAGUGCCAUGUCUGCACCUGGGAUCCGAACCAGCGAACUCCGGGCCACCUAGAAGUGGAGCGUGUGCACUUAACCGCUGCACCACUGGGCCGGCCACGCUAUCUUUCUAUUUUUAAGGGUAUGCAAAUAACUUAAAUUAUUUGACUACUAAAUUUAAGGAAGUUAUUUACCUUUAGCUUAAACACAGAAUCUGUCAGACAUAGGGAUAUACUUGAAGCAAUUUUUAAAUUAUAGUAUAAAUUUAUUUGUUUGUAUCUUACUGAUUAUAGUAUAAAUUUAUUUGUUUGUAUCUUACUGAUCAUG
rnacentral:lncRNA from 1 species